ensembl:lncRNA
AUGUUUCCGGUAAGAGGGUGGGAGGAGGAAAGAAGCGGGUAUUACGCGCAGCCCAGUGACAGCUUAAGCCUUAACAUGCGGGCAUCUCACAAUGACCAUAAACAAGGGAGGGGCCAAGGCAGGGCCGGCGAUCAUUGGCUUUGUGCACAGAACGCCAGUUUUCCAUGGGCUAACAUGAGCAAAGCUGUUUUAGUACCUAAACGUGAUAUAGCCAAAUGCACAAAAGGAAAGAAGAUGGAGAUGACCUGCAUCUCACAAUGACCAUAAACAAGGGAGGGGCCAAGGCAGGGCCGGCGAUCAUUGGCUUUGUGCACAGAACGCCAGUUUUCCAUGGGCUAACAUGAGCAAAGCUGUUUUAGUACCUAAACGUGAUAUAGCCAAAUGCACAAAAGGAAAGAAGAUGGAGAUGACCUCCCGAGUUAUUUAUACCCUGUGCUAAAAUAGAUUCAUCUACAAGUAUCUAAAUGACAAAACUAGAAUGAUUUCAACCCAGUAAUCCCGUGUUCCAAUGUGCAUGGAUAAAGAUUUGAUCCAGGCCGGGCGCGAUGGCUCACGCCUGUAAUCCCAGCACUUUGGGAGGCUGAGGCAGGCGGAUCACAAGGUCAGGAGAUCGAGAUCAUCCUGGCUAACAUAGUGAAACCCGAUGUUUUAAAAAUACAAAAAUUAGCGUGUGCAGUGGCGAAGCCUUUAAUCCCAGCUACUCAGGAGGCUGAGGCAGGAGAAUGGCAGACCCGGAGGCCGGAGCUUGCAGAUCGCUACUGCACUCUAGCCUGGGUGACAGGCCGAGACUCCAUCUCAAAAAAAAAAAAAAAUUGAUCCGGCAAUGCUGAGGCGGGAGUCGCUCUGCCGCGCCAGGCUGGGUCUGAUGGCCGGAUCUCAGCUCACUGCAAGCUCCGCCUCCGGGUUCACCCUGCCUCCUUCCAGUAACUGGGACUGGGCGCCCACCACGUGGUUUUCUGUAUUUUUUAGUAGAAACGAGGGUUUCACGUGUAAUAAACCAGGAUGGUCUCGAUCUCUAUUCCCUAAAUGAUCAUGCGUCAACCUCCCAAAGUGCUGGGAUUACAGGCUUGACCACGGCCUGGCCAAAUAACUUUUUUGAGAUGGAGUCUCGCUCUGUUGCUGAGGCUGGAGUGUGGUGGCAUGAUCUCGCUCAUUGCAACCUCUGCCUCCCAGGUUCAAGCAAUUCUCCAGCCUCAGCCUCUCAAGUAGCUGGGAUCACAGGCACCCACCACUAGGCCAGGCUAAUUUUUGUAUUUUUAGUAGAGACGGGGUUUCACUAUGUUGGCCAGGCUGGUCUCGAACUCCUGACCUCAGGUGAUCCGCCCGCCUUGGCCUCCCAAAGUGCUGGGAUUACAGGGGUGAGCCACCAUGCCCAGCCUGCUCCAGCAAAUCUUAAAUACCCAUGCACAUUGAAUAAACAUGCACCUGAAACAGGUACACGUUUCAGAAAGUGAAUGGAACUCUCCAGAAGAGUUUGGGUCCCAUCAUGUGUACCUUAAAAACAGAAGUCUCAUCAACAUCCACAAAAACAUCUGUAUCUGUUUUCCAGAUACUUGCACCAAAAAUAAAACUUCACAGGAACACUACACAAGAAGUGGCAGACAGCUGAAUCUUCUCCAAACUGAGACCUGGACCAUAAGGUCUUGAUUCUAGCAGGUCUGGCAGGUGUAUCUACUAACCUGCACGCAGGGCACUGUGAGUGGGUUGCCAGGGCACAUCUGUGGCCAGGUAAGGGCCACAGAGAUAGUCGUGAUCCCAGCAGCUUCAAAGCUGCAAAAUGCUGGGCUUUUUUUUUAAGAUGGAGUCUUGCUCUAUUGCCUAGGCUGGAGUGUAGUGGUGUGAUCUCAGCUCACCACAACCUCCGCCUCCCAGGGUCAAGCAAUUCUCCUGCCUCAGCCUCCUGAGUAGCUGGGCUACAGGCACACACCACCAUGCCGUUAAUUUUUGUAUUUUCAGUAGAGACGGGGGUUUCACCAUGUUGGCCAAGCUGGUCUCGAACUCCUGACCUCAGGUAAUCCACACUCCUUGGCCUCCCAAAGUGCUGGGAUUACAGGCGUCAGCCACUGCGCCUGGCCUAGGGCUUUUUUUAAAAAAAAAAGUUCUAGCAAAGGGGCGUUUCUACCAGCCCCUGAGCCACACCUUCUGAAACUCCCUUGCCCAGGAUCCCCACAGCUGCCCACAUCGCAUGUCCCACUCUCUGCCCACAGAAACUGCCUAAAAGGAGGACACAACAGAUUUCAGAUAAAAAGCACCUGUGUAUCAUAAAUAUUUCAGGAAAAAUAAUUCAGCUCUUUUCAAAGGCUUGCUUAUUGCUGCUAAUUGUUCCUGAGAAUCUUUCUAAGCAGCAAUACACUUGAGAAUGUUAUUAGCUGCUACUGCUUGUUUUCCUUCUAACGUCCUGAGGAAACCAAAAGCAAAAUGAAACAAAAAACCCCUCAAGGCUAUAGCUUUUGUAUAUAGGCCUAGUGAGCAAACUGCAAAUUGAGACAAGGAACAGAUUCCGGAGCAAUCUCCAAUCCUUACACAGGUACUUCCUGGCAUCAAAUCCCCAGGACAUUUCUUGGCCCCUAAUUGCAUUUUCCUUUUCAAAAUGUUGAGGUUUAAAAUACAUACAACCGCAGAGGGGAGAAGAUCUCAGGUCUAGAAAUGGCGAUGUCUUCAUUUAGAAAUAGGACCGAUGGGAGCUUGGCAGGGGUCUCUAGGAUCCAAAAGAGGUUGAGUUGCAUCCUGCAGCCCAACUGUCCACAUUUAGAAGUGACAACAUUCAUGAACUAAGUCAACAUCCACCAAAAAUAACAAGGAAU